rnacentral:rRNA from 1 species
UAGGGAAUCUUCCGCAAUGGACGAAAGUCUGACGGAGCAACGCCGCGUGAGUGAUGAAGGUUUUCGGAUGGUAAAACUCUGUUGUUAGGGAAGAACAAGUACCGGAGUAACGGCCGGUACCUUGACGGUACCUAACCAGAAAGCCACGGCUAACUACGUG